AUAAUAUACUAUUCUCAAUAUGGCUACUGGGUGUAAAAGAUAAAUCUUAUUCUAUCUGUUCUUCAUGAGUUUUAGAUAAUUUUAGUUGUAUUUCUUUGUAAUUUUGUGUUGUACAAAGAUUAAUUUAACAUUUUCUCUGGAAGUAUUAAUUUAGAAAGAUAAUAUGCUUCAUUGGUGUUGUGUUUUGAAGUGUGAAAUGCAAAGUAAUUGUGAUAAAGUCAAGAUAAAGUUCACUUUUAAACUGAACUAAAUAAGGUAUCUGAGAGACAACAAUGGUUAAAUGCAAUACAAUGUACAGGUUUUACUAGCGAAAUGAAAAUUUUCCUGUCCUGUCUGCUGUAAUCAUUUUAUAUCUGGUAAGUUACAAUUACAACAGUAACGAUUUUUGAAGAUGUUAACAUUUUAAUCUUAUAGGAAAAUAGGAAAACCAGCCGACUUAAUCGAUAAUAACAAUCUCCAGAUUGGGUUCCUUCAAUAAAUAUGGGCUAUAAACACAAUGAAAUAAGUUCCCCAAAAUCUAAAAUGGAGUGCUAUCAAAGGAGAAUUAAAGGAAAAAAUAUUCAUAUUGAAAUUAUUUAUAAGGCACUGGACUGUCUUAAAUUCUACAAUAAUACUAGAAUCAGCUGAGAGAAGUGGUCUACAAAAAACCAGGAAGGAAACGGAAUAUGUGGCUACGAAAGGCAAAAGAAAGGUUUACAAAGCAAAUGUGACACAUUUUUUUGAAAUAUUUAGGAAUAUCAGUAAAUUGCAUUAAAAAAUGUAUGAAAAGAUUUUGUUCAAUAAAAAUGUUUAUAUUUA